GUGAAACUGGUCAUACUCCAUGAGCCUCUUAAAACGUUCGCUUAGGGUUUGCUACAUACAUCCAAUGUGGAAAUAAAAUGCUUCUCAGAUUUUAUUGAUUCCAUCAAUCUAGGAUCGUAAGUAUGUAAUCAGGAAUUAACCUUUAGAAAAGAGAGUCAGAGGUAAUGGCUUUUUUUUCUUUUUGUUUAAACUUUUGACAAUAAAUAUCUAUAUUUUUGACAUCAGAAAAAUAUUGUUAAAAGAAAAUCUAAACACAAUGCCUCUUUCCCGUUUCUAUAAUAAUUCCAUAUUUCAGAAAGAAUUUUUAGUAGAUUUAAGAUGAAGAUAAGUUAAAAUAUCUACAUGAGAAUUUCUGAUCAGAGAAGCACCACACAUUUUGAUAAAACAUGAUUAUUAUUAUUUCACAAAUAUUACAAAGUAAACCACAAGUUUUGAGAAAAUAGGUUUCUCAUCGAAGAAUCUUCAUGUUCUUUAUUGUCCUGACUCAUACAAAAUGUUCACCAGAGUUGCGUUUUUGAAUUUUUUGGACAACUUGUUGAUAAUUCAAGAUGGGGCCAAGAAAAAUAAAGUCAAAUAUAGAGAAUAACAGAAAUUGUGUUUGUGUUCAAAAAUUCUGGACAGAGAUUAUUUGGGUAAAAGGUAUGGUUCAUCUCUUGCUUCAUUUUAAAUCUCUUUCUUUACUGAAAUCAAAUUUCUUUCUGGGAUUUUCAAAUAUCUUAUCUCCAUAUUUUUGUCUUUAUGUCCAGCCUGAAGAUUUAUUUCAGUUUCUCCAUUUUCCUAGCAGGAAAAUGCUACAUGUACUUAAAGCUUCAAGUAAUAUGGAUAAUUGA
rnacentral:lncRNA from 1 species